UACGGAGGGUGCGAGCGUUGUCCGGAAUCAUUGGGCGUAAAGGGCGCGUAGGUGGUUUGUCGCGUUGUCCGUGAAAACUCACAACUCAAUUGUGGGCGUGCGGGCGAUACGGGCAGACUGGAGUACUGCAGGGGAGACUGGAAUUCCUGGUGUAGCGGUGGAAUGCGCAGAUAUCAGGAGGAACACCGGUGGCGAAGGCGGGUCUCUGGGCAGUAACUGACGCUGAGGAGCGAAAGCGUGGGGAGCGAACAGG
rnacentral:rRNA from 1 species